rnacentral:rRNA from 1 species
ACGAACGCUGGCGGCGUGCUUAACACAUGCAAGUCGAACGGUGAAGCGCCUUCCUUUUUGGUGGGUGUGGAUGAGUGGCGAACGGGUGAGUAACACGUGAGUAACCUGCCCCCUUCUUCUGGAUAACCGCAUGAAAGUGUGGCUAAUACGGGAUAUUCUGGGUCUGUCGCAUGAUGGGUCUGGGAAAGAUAUUGUUUCGGUGGGGGAUGGGCUCGCGGCCUAUCAGCUUGUUGGUGGGGUGAUGGCCUACCAAGGCGGUGACGGGUAGCCGGCCUGAGGGGGUGGACGGUCACACUGGGACUGAGACACGGCCCAGACUCCUACGGGAGGCAGCAGUGGGGAAUAUUGCACAAUGGGCGCAAGCCUGAUGCAGCGACGCCGCGUGAGGGAUGGAGGCCUGCGGGUCGUGAACCUCUUUCGCCAGUGAAGCAGGCCUGCCUCGUUUGUGGGUGGGUUGACGGUAGCUGGAGAAGAAGCGCCGGCUAACUACGUG